CAGCGGUGAAAUUUUCCGGCUUAACCGGGAGACUGCCGUUGAUACUGUAUAGCUUGAAUACGGUUGCUGUGAGUGGAAUGUGUGGUGUAGCGGUGAAAUGCAUAGAUAUCACACAGAAUAUCGAUUGCGAAGGCAGCUCACAAAGCCGUUAUUGACGCUGAUGCACGAAAGUGUGGGGAUCAAACAGGAUUAGAUACCCUGGUAGUCCACACUGUAAACGAUGAUAACUAGCUGUCGGCGAUACACCGUCGGUGGCCAAGCGAAAGCGAUAAGUUAUCCACCUGGGGAGUACGACCGCAAGGUUGAAACUCAAAGGAAUUGACGGGGGCCCGCACAAGCGGAGGAACAUGUGGUUUAAUUCGAUGAUACGCGAGGAACCUUACCCGGGCUCGAACGGUGCAGUAAUAUGGUAGAGAUAUCAUAGCUAGCAAUAGGCUGUAUCGAGGUGCUGCAUGGUUGUCGUCAGCUCGUGCCGUGAGGUGUCGGCUUAAGUGCCAUAACGAGCGCAACCCUUGUCGUUAGUUACCAUCAAGUAAAGUUGGGGACUCUAGCGAGACUGCCACCGUAAGGUGUGAGGAAGGGGGGGAUGACGUCAAAUCAGCACGGCCCUUACGUCCGGGGCGACACACGUGUUACAAUGGUAGGUACAGAGGGCCGCUAUCCAGUGAUGGAGUGCCAAUCUCAAAAACCUAUCUCAGUUCGGAUCGGAGUCUGCAACUCGACUCCGUGAAGUUGGAUUCGCUAGUAAUCGCGCAUCAGCCAUGGCGCGGUGAAUACGUUCCCGGGCCUUGUACACACCGCCCGUCAAGCCAUGGAAGCCGGGGGUGCCUGAAGUUCGUGACCGCAAGGAGCGACCUAGGGCAAAACUGGUAACUGGGGCUAAGUCGUAACAAGGUAACC
rnacentral:rRNA from 1 species